GCCUGUGAUGUUAACAUGUAUCUAACCUGAAAUUCAAUAUUAGUGAUGUUGAUUUCAUUUGACUAGGACGAACUGAGGC